rnacentral:rRNA from 1 species
CCUACGGGAGGCUGCAGUGGGGAAUAUUGGGCAAUGGGCGCAAGCCUGACCCAGCAACGCCGCGUGAAGGAAGAAGGCUUUCGGGUUGUAAACUUCUUUUCUCAGGGACGAAGCAAGUGACGGUACCUGAGUAAUAAGCCGCGGCUAACUACGUGCCAACAGCCGCGGUAAUACGUAGGUGGCAAGCGUUAUCCGGAUUUACUGGGUGCAAAGGGCGUGUAGGCGGGGCUGCAAGUCAGAUGUGAAAACCACGGGCUCAACCUGUGGCCUGCAUUUGAAACUGUAGUUCUUGAGUACUGGAGAGGCAGACAGAAUUCCUGGUGUAGCGGUGAAAUGCGUAGAUAUUAGGAGGAACACCAGUGGCGAAGGCGGUCUGCUGGACAGCAACUGACGCUGAGGCGCGAAAGCGUGGGGAGCAAACAGGAUUAGAUACCCCUGUAGUC